AGUGAACGCUGGCGGUAGGCCUAACACAUGCAAGUCGAACGGCAGCACAGUAAGAGCUUGCUCUUACGGGUGGCGAGUGGCGUACGGGUGAGGAAUACAUCGGACUCUACUUUUUCGUGGGGCUUCAGGAAGGUAACUUUAGUUCAUAACGCAAACUCCCUCCGGGUGGAAGGAGUGGGUAUUUUGACCCUGCUGGGUUUGAAGACGCGACGUGGGAUUUGCUUGUUGGGGGGGUAAAGGACCAACACGGUGACGAUCCGUAGCUGGUCUGAGAGGAUGAUCGGCCACACGGGAACGUGGACAGGGUCCAGACGCCUACGGGAGGCAGCAGUGGGGAAUAUUGGACAAUAGUCGCAAGCCUUGUCCAGCCAGAGCGCGUGUGUGAAGAAGGCGUUCGGGUUGUAAAGCCCGUUUGUGGGGAAAGAAAAGCAUCAGGUUAAUACCCCGCUGUUCUGACGGUACCCAAAGAAGAAGCACCGGCUAACUUCGUG
rnacentral:rRNA from 1 species